GCCCCUGUAGCUCAGAGGAUAGAGCGUUGGCCUCCGGAGCCAAAUGCGACAGUUCGAGUCUGUCCAGGGGUA
rfam:Chloroflexi bacterium RBG_16_47_49 RBG_16_scaffold_5775, whole genome shotgun sequence.